rnacentral:tRNA from 1 species
GGAGAGAUGGCCGAGCGGUUUAAGGCACCGGUCUUGAAAACCGGCGAGGUGCAAGCCUCCGUGAGUUCGAAUCUCACUCUCUCCGCCA